AACCAGCUCUUCAAGUGGUCGGGAUGAUUAUUGGGCUUAAAGUGUCCGUAGCCGGUUUAGUAAGUUCCUGGUAAAAUCAGGUAGCUUAACUAUCUGUAUGCUAGGAAUACUACUAUACUAGAGGGCGGGAGAGGUCUGAGGUACUACAGGGGUAGGGGUGAAAUCUUAUAAUCCUUGUAGGACCACCAGUGGCGAAGGCGUCAGACUGGAACGUGCCUGACGGUGAGGGACGAAAGCCAGGGGAGCGAACCGGAUUAGAUACCCGGGUAGUCCUGGCCGUAAACGAUGCAUACUAGGUGAUGGCCCGGCCAUGAGCCGUGUCAGUGCCGUAGGGAAACCGUUAAGUGUGCCGCCUGGGAAGUACGGUCGCAAGGCUAAAACUUAAGGAAUUGGCGGGGGAGCACCACAAGGGGUGAAGCCUGCGGUUC
rnacentral:rRNA from 1 species